rnacentral:rRNA from 1 species
UACGUAGGGUGCAAGCGUUAAUCGGAAUUACUGGGAGUAAAGCGUGCGCAGGCGGCUUUGCAAGACAGAUGUGAAAUCCCCGGGCUUAACCUGGGAACUGCAUUUGUGACUGCAUGGCUAGAGUGCGGCAGAGGGGGAUGGAAUUCCGCGUGUAGCAGUGAAAUGCGUAGAUAUGCGGAGGAACACCGAUGGCGAAGGCAAUCCCCUGGGCCUGCACUGACGCUCAUGCACGAAAGCGUGGGGAGCAAACAGG